rnacentral:rRNA from 1 species
GGAUGCCUUGGCAGUCAGAGGCGAUGAAGGACGUAUUAACUUGCGAUAAGCCCAGAUUAGGUAGUAAAAACCACUUGAGUCUGGGAUUUCCGAAUGGGGAAACCCACUAGCAUAAGCUAGUAUCGCUGCGUGAAUACAUAGCGCAGCGAGGCGAACCGGGGGAACUGAAACAUCUAAGUACCCCGAGGAAAAGAAAUCAACCGAGAUUCCGAAAGUAGCGGCGAGCGAAAUUGGACUAGCCCUUAAGCUUUUUAUGCGUCAGGUGAAACUUCUGGAAAGUUGUGCGAUACAGGGUGAUAGCCCCGUAACCGGCAACGCAUUUAAAGUGAAAUCGAGUAGGGCGGGACACGUGAUAUCCUGUCUGAAUAUGGGGGGACCAUCCUCCAAGGCUAAAUACUACUGACUGACCGAUAGUG